rfam:Peptoniphilus lacrimalis DNF00528 contig073, whole genome shotgun sequence.
GCAGAAGUGCUGGAAUAGGCAGACAGGCAUGUUUGAGGGGCAUGUGCAAGCUUUUGCGUGAGGGUUCAAGUCCCUUCUUCUGCA